rnacentral:lncRNA from 1 species
GAGGAUGUAUUCAGAGUGGGAAGGAAUAAAAAAUUGGGAAAAUGUCAAAAUUCAAGGUAGACAAUAGUCUAAACCAUUUGUAGCUUAGUAUCUAUCGCUGCAGACCACCUCAGCCCUUUGUUUUAGUCUGGGGUUAUGAAGGUAAAGAAGAGAGAGGAAAAAAAAAAUUGAGAUAGCUCAUGUAUUAAGAUUCUGUGCAAAUACAUUUUGUAUUCAUAUUAUUUCUCACUAAUGAGUGAUUUCGUCCAUUGUAUGUUUAGAAACAGACACUUUCCUUGAAUGGAAACCUC